rnacentral:rRNA from 1 species
CCUACGGGGGGCAGCAGUGGGGAAUAUUGGGCAAUGGGCGCAAGCCUGACCCAGCAACGCCGCGUGAAGGAAGAAGGCUUUCGGGUUGUAAACUUCUUUUAGGAGGGAAGAGACGAAGACGGUACCUCUUGAAUAAGCCACGGCUAACUACGUGCCAGCAGCCGCGGUAAUACGUAGGUGGCAAGCGUUGUCCGGAUGUACUGGGUGUAAAGGGCGUGUAGCCGGGCUGACAAGUCAGAUGUGAAAUCCCGGUGCUGAACCACGGAACUGCAUUUGAAACUGUCGGUCUAGAGUAUCGGAGAGGCAGGCGGAAUUCCUAGGGUAGCGGUGAAAUGCGUAGAUAUUAGGAGGAACACCAGUGGCGAAGGCGGCCUGCUGGACGACAACUGACGGUGAGGCGCGAAAGCGUGGGGAGCAAACAGGAUUAGAUACCCUUGUAGUC